GACGAACGCUGGCGGCGUGCCUAAUACAUGCAAGUAGGACGCACAGUCUAUACCGUAGCUUGCUACACCAUAGGCUGUGAGUUGCGAACGGGUGAGUAACGCGUAGGUAACCUGCCUAUUAGAGGGGGAUAACUAUUGGAAACGAUAGCUAAUACCGCAUAACAGUAUGUAACACAUGUUAGAUGCUUGAAAGAUGCAAUUGCAUCGCUAGUAGAUGGACCUGCGUUGUAUUAGCUAGUAGGUAGGGUAAUGGCCUACCUAGGCGACGAUACAUAGCCGACCUGAGAGGGUGAUCGGCCACACUGGGACUGAGACACGGCCCAGACUCCUACGGGAGGCAGCAGUAGGGAAUCUUCGGCAAUGGGGGAAACCCUGACCGAGCAACGCCGCGUGAGUGAAGAAGGUUUUCGGAUCGUAAAGCUCUGUUGUUAAGGAAGAACGAGUGUGAGAAUGGAAAGUUCAUACUGUGACGGUACUUAACCAGAAAGGGACGGCUAACUACGUG
rnacentral:rRNA from 1 species